AAACAUCGCCUUUUGACAUCUUCAUAAAAGGUCCAGCCUGCCCAGUGACUUUUGUUCAACGGCCGCGGUAUCCUAACCGUGCAAAGGUAGCGUAAUCACUUGUUUUUUAAAUAAAGACUAGUAUGAAAGGCAUCACGAGGAUAAAGCUGUCUCCUUUUUUUGAUCAGUGAAACUAAUCUUCCCGUGAAGAAGCGGGAAUAUUUAAAUAAGACGAAAAGACCCUAUGGAGCUUUAAACAUUAUAGCAUAUGUUAACUCAUCUCACCUCAAGCAUCAUUGACUAUAAGUUUUCGGUUGGGGCGACCACGGAGCAAAACAAACCCUCCUAGUUGAUUAUACCUCUAAGCCCAGAGCUACAGCUCCAAGCAUUAAUAAAUUAACAUCAAUUGACCCAGUAUUCUGACCAACGAACCAAGUUACCCUAGGGAUAACAGCGCAAUCUACUUCAAGAGCCCUUAUCGACAAGUGGGUUUACGACCUCGAUGUUGGAUCAGGAUGUCCUAGUGGUGUAGCCGCUACUUUAGGUUCGUUUGUUCAACGAUUAAAAUCCUACGUGAU
rnacentral:rRNA from 2 species